rnacentral:rRNA from 1 species
GACGAACGCUGGCGGCGUGCUUAACACAUGCAAGUCGAACGAAGUGGCGAACGGGUGAGUAACGCGUAAUCAACCUGCCCUUCAGCGGGGGACAACAGUUGGAAACGACUGCUAAUACCGCAUACUGAAGGAGGGGAUUGCGUCUGAUUAGCUAGUUGGAGGGGUAACGGCCCACCAAGGCGAUGAUCAGUAGCCGGUCUGAGAGGAGGAACGGCCAAAUUGGGACUGAGAAACGGCCCAGACUCCUACGGGAGGCAGCAGUGGGGAAUAUUGCGGAAUGGGGGAAACCCUGACGCAGCAACGGCGCGUGAGUGAUGACGGCCUUCGGGGUGUAAAGCUCUGUUAAUCGGGACGCGGUACCGGAAUAUAAAGCCACGGCUAACUACGUGCCAGCAGCCGCGGUAAUAC